UACGUAGGGGGCAAGCGUUGUCCGGAUUUAUUGGGCGUAAAGAGCGUGUAGGCGGUUUUACAGGUCCGCUGUGAAAACUCGAGGCUCAACCUCGAGCUGUCGGUGGAAACCGUAAGGCUAGAGUAUGGGAGAGGGUAGUGGAAUUCCCGGUGUAGCGGUGAAAUGCGUAGAUAUCGGGAGGAACAUCAGUGGCGAAGGCGGCUACCUGGCCCAAUACUGACACUCAGGUGCGACAGCGUGGGGAGCAAACAGG
rnacentral:rRNA from 1 species